GACGGAGGGUGCAAGCGUUGUUCGGAAUUACUGGGCGUAAAGGGCGCGUAGGCGGUCUGUUAAGUUCGGUGUGAAAGCCCCCGGCUCACCUGGGGAACUGCGCCGGAAACCGACAGACUCGAGUACCGGAGAGGAGGGUGGAAUUCCUGGUGUAGCGGUGAAAUGCGUAGAUAUCAGGAGGAACACCAAUGGCGAAGGCAGCACUCUGGGACGUGACUGACGCUGAGACGCGAAAGCGUGGGGAGCAAACAGG
rnacentral:rRNA from 1 species